ACUGAAAGCAUCGAUAGUUAUUGAAUGUUCCGUGGAGUCCUUUAGCAGUAGGGGGCAAGGAUUGUCAUUUCACCUUAGAGUAAUAAUACAGAUUAAUAAGGAAUGUUUUACAAAGAAUAUUUAAGCAGUUCUUUUUUUUCUCUUUUUGCAAAGGAGAGUAUUAACUCUUUAUGCCCAGUGCAUUGAGAAGCCAUUGGAAUGGGCUUCCCUUUAGCACUCAGAGGGUUAAGAUUUGGUUAUUUGCAACUAAUUUUGGCUAUUUUGCAAAUUCAAUGUUUAAAUUAUUACGGAGUAAAUAAACCCCUAAGGUCUUGGUACGGUUUAUAAUAAGAACUUGGCGGAUGGCCUCAUACCUUUUCACUCGUGAGACAGGCUGCUAUACUACUUAAAGGGGAGGGAUGGGGGUUUGGGGGGUGUGUGUGUGUGUGUGUGUAAAUGGAAAGAUAGAAAAAAGGUUUUGUUUUUAUAACAUUGCAAAGAAAUGCUUUGUGAGAUGGGUCAUAUUUAGCUGUACUUUGGGGGCAGGUAUUGUCCCCCCUCCCUCCACUAUUACAGAGCUCAGAGCUUGCAGUAAAGCUAUGCAGGUUGGCAGGCCAUGCUCUGUGCCCACUGUCAGCUGGCAUAGGCGUGAGGAGCAGCUUGGGCACCAUAUUACAGCAGUGUGUUGUGUGAUAGAAUAAAUGUUAGAGUAUGACAGGGGAUGGAAGGACAGAAUUACAUGCUGCAUGUGAUUACCGCAGUGAGCAGGUUAAAUCAGUUUCCUUGCCUAGUGAUUGCUAAAUACAAUGAUUUUGCCUGAAAUCACUCUGUUCAUUCUCAAAAUGUUGUUUUUUAGAUUUCUAUUUUUAUGGUAUGUGACAAGACUAAAAUAAAGAGUGAUUAAACAUUA